rnacentral:misc_RNA from 1 species
CAACCCUCAGGCACCGCCUGGUGUUGGGCCUCCACCGCACGGUGGGCCCCGAAAUUCAGCGGCGAGCGUCCCCUGGACCCGAGCGUAGUAGCAUACCUCGCUUAGGGCGCCGGGAGCGGUUCCAGCCGUAAAACCCCAAAUUUUACAAGG